GAUGAACGCUGGCGGAGUACCUAACACAUGCAAGUCGAGCGGCAGCGCGAGUAGUUUACUACUUGGCGGCGAGCGGCGGACGGCUGAGUAACGCGUGGGAACAUGCCCCAAAGUGAGGAAUAACUGCCCGAAAGGGUAGCUAAUGCCGCAUAUGAUCUUCGGAUUAAAGGAUUUAUCCGCUUUGGGAGUGGCCUGCGUACGAUUAGAUAGUUGGUGAGGUAAAGGCUCACCAAGUCGACGAUCGUUAACUGGUUUGAGAGGAUGAUCAGUCAGACUGGAACUGAGACACGGUCCAGACUCCUACGGGAGGCAGCAGUGAGGAAUCUUCCACAAUGGGCGAAAGCCUGAUGGAGCAACUCCGCGUGCAGGAUGAAGGCCUUCGGGUUGUAAACUGCUUUUAUGAGUGAAGAAUAUGACGGUAACUCAUGAAUAAGGGUCGGCUAACUACGUG
rnacentral:rRNA from 1 species